rnacentral:misc_RNA from 1 species
CCGAGUUUACAACUCCCAAACCCCUGUGAACAUACCACUUGUUGCCUCGGCGGAUCAGCCCGCUCCCGGUAAAACGGGACGGCCCGCCAGAGGACCCCUAAACUCUGUUUCUAUAUGUAACUUCUGAGCAAAACCAUAAAUAAAUCA